AGGGGUACUGCCCGGGACCUAAGGGCCGCGAGUCGGCUGCUAUCAGCCUCCGCACGCUGGGGCAAGCCUUUUGAGAGUCUAGGGCGUGGCAGCUUUAGGAGUUCGGAAAGCGGGGUGUGGACUCCUGCGUGGGUCUUUGGUUUGAGCCCUGGCUCCGGCCUUAUUCGUAUUUCCCCGCAAGGACGGCUUUUCUCAGUUUUUCCCGAAGUUGUGGGGUUUAGACCUUAUUUUUGAGGGUCCACUGUGUGUAAGCAUUGGUUGUCCUGCGCAGGGCGCCGUGAGGUAGCUGGGGGAAGGAGGGCUUAGAGAUGCUUGAGGCGGCCCUUACGUGAAAUGUUGGAGGUUGAGGUGAAAAAUCUGGCUUUGAUACCUUCACAGAGGACUACGCUAUUUCAAUCCUAAAUCUGGUUCAGUUCCCUUACUGACUUAUUUAUUAAAAUGUUUAAUUAACUAGGGUA